rnacentral:rRNA from 1 species
UACGGGGGGGGCAAGCGUUGUUCGGAAUUACUGGGCGUAAAGGGCUCGUAGGCGGCCAACUAAGUCCGACGUGAAAUCCCCAGGCUUAACCUGGGAACUGCGUCGGAUACUGGAUGGCUUGAAUCCGGGAGAGGGAAGCGGAAUUCCAGGUGUAGCGGUGAAAUGCGUAGAUAUCUGGAGGAACACCGGUGGCGAAGGCGGCAUCCUGGACCGGCAUUGACGCUGAGGAGCGAAAGCCAGGGGAGCAAACGGG